rnacentral:rRNA from 1 species
CGAACGCUGGCGGCGUGCUUAACACAUGCAAGUCGAACGGAAAGGCCCUGCUUUUGUGGGGUGCUCGAGUGGCGAACGGGUGAGUAACACGUGAGUAACCUGCCCUUGACUUUGGGAUAACUUCAGGAAACUGGGGCUAAUACCGGAUAGGAGCUCCUGCUGCAUGGUGGGGGUUGGAAAGUUUCGGCGGUUGGGGAUGGACUCGCGGCUUAUCAGCUUGUUGGUGGGGUAGUGGCUUACCAAGGCUUUGACGGGUAGCCGGCCUGAGAGGGUGACCGGCCACAUUGGGACUGAGAUACGGCCCAGACUCCUACGGGAGGUAGCAGUGGGGAAUAUUGCACAAUGGGCGGAAGCCUGAUGCAGCAACGCCGCGUGCGGGAUGACGGCCUUCGGGUUGUAAACCGCUUUCGCCUGUGACGAAGCGUGAGUGACGGUAAUGGGUAAAGAAGCACCGGCUAACUACGUG